UUGAAAACGCUGACUGUUGAUCCCUCAGGCAGAGGUCUGGAGUCUGCCCAGUCUGUCUGCAGCGUCGCAGCCCGGGCUAAGCUUUCUCGGGUCAUAAUGACAGAACCCAGGCACAGCCCCCCGGGACCGUUCCUUCCGCGAAAUCAGCCGAAAGCCCCCAAGGGAUAGGACCGGGCAGGGGUUGGUGUCUGGGAAACUGGUUGUGAGAAACGGACUUCACACAGCCCCUGAGCUGGAAGCAUCGAGUACGACCCUUUCACUUCACAGAAGGGGAAACUGAGGCCCGAAGAGGGAGGCGGCCGCUGGGUGGGGUUGGAAAGAGAGCCCCGGUUUCCAGGGCCAGCGCAGUUCUCAAUCCAUGAUGUGGCCAUGGGCAAGUCGGUUCCCUUUUGCGGGCCUCGGUUUCCCCAACUGUAAAAUGGGUGCGUCGGACUGGAUCCUCAACAGAACUGCCAGAUGAAUGAACUGGUAGACUGGCCUAAGAGCCCUCGGUGUCUCCUGGCAAAGCCUCGUUCUAGAAAUCCAGCCUCUGAACUCUCAUCAGCUGUCGCGUUCACUGAGCCAAACCCAGGACAACAAUCAACACAGAAGACUUUGGUGACCAAAUGUCUGGGGGUUUUUCCCCACGCACCAAGAAGCAAUCAAUUCUGCAGCGGACACCAGCUGAGUAUCCUCCAAUCCAAUUCUGAUACUGUCCACAUGGAGAUAGUGUCAGAUCCCACAGGGGGAGGAUUCAGUCCCCCAAACUCACCCCACCCCUCUUCAGACACCAGUCGCCAGACUGACUGGCUUCAAGUUGGGGUUUCCAUGACCCCCUCUUUGGGUUCAAUUGAUUUGCUAGAGUGGCUCAUAGAACCUAGGGAAAUGCUUGCAAAAACCCAGCAAGUCCUGUCCAGAUUCUUCUUGGCCGCUCUGGGCAGCAUUCCUGCAGGGUGUGGGGCAGGACCCACUCUACAAUGAGAAUUUGAUGACCCACAAUCGGAUUAGAGUCCUGCCUUGAACAGGUGAAAGGGGGGCAGAAGAAGGUCGCAUUCUGUUUCCUGCGGCCUGCUUCUGAGACCUAAAGUGCCCCAACAUUGUAUCAAAAGACUGUAACAAAGGCUAUAGGAGGCAGGAACCAUUGGAUGAAAACCAAUGUACAUCUAUGUCAUAAUAUCACAAGGAUUCAGCCAAGUUCUUUGCCACUUUAUAACUGGGAUCACCUUUUCUCCAGUUUCCAAUAACAUUUUCCUCAUCUCUAUCUGAGACCUUUCCAGAAUCACCUUUAAUAUUCAUAUUUCUGGAUUCAGAGUCCAGGGUGCUAACCAUUAUACCAUUGAGCUGCCAUUAAUAUUCAUAUUUCCACCAACAUU